UUUUUUUUUUUUUUUUUUUUUUUUUUUUUUUUUUUUUUUUUUUU
rnacentral:ncRNA from 3 species